rnacentral:rRNA from 1 species
UGGGGAAUAUUGGACAAUGGGCGAAAGCCUGAUCCAGCCAUGCCGCGUGUGUGAAGAAGGCCUUUUGGUUGUAAAGCACUUUAAGUGGGGAGGAAAAGCUUAUGGUUAAUACCCAUAAGCCCUGACGUUACCCACAGAAUAAGCACCGGCUAACUCUGUGCCAGCAGCCGCGGUAAUACAGAGGGUGCAAGCGUUAAUCGGAAUUACUGGGCGUAAAGCGCGCGUAGGUGGUUAUUUAAGUCAGAUGUGAAAGCCCCGGGCUUAACCUGGGAACUGCAUCUGAUACUGGAUAACUAGAGUAGGUGAGAGGGGAGUAGAAUUCCAGGUGUAGCGGUGAAAUGCGUAGAGAUCUGGAGGAAUACCGAUGGCGAAGGCAGCUCCCUGGCAUCAUACUGACACUGAAGUGCGAAAGCGUGGGUAGCAAACAGGAUUAGAUACCCUGGUAGUCCACGCCGUAAACGAUGUCUACCAGUCGUUGGGUCUUUUAAAGACUUAGUGACGCAGUUAACGCAAUAAGUAGACCGCCUGGGGAGUACGGCCGCAAGGUUA